UAAUACGGAGGGUGCAAGCGUUAUCCGGAUUCACUGGGUUUAAAGGGUGCGUAGGAGGGCAGGUAAGUCAGUGGUGAAAUCUCCGGGCUUAACCCGGAAACUGCCUCUGAUACUAUCUGUCUUGAAUACCGUGGAGGUGAGCGGAAUAUGUCAUGUAGCGGUGAAAUGCUUAGAUAUGACAUAGAACACCAAUUGCGAAGGCAGUUCACUACACGAAUUAUUGACUCUGAGGCACGAAAGCGUGGGGAGCAAACAGGAUUAGAUACCCUGGUAGUCCACGCCCUAAACCAUGGAUACUCGACAUACGCGAUACACAGUGUGUGUCUGAGCGAAAGCAUUAAGUAUCCCACCUGGGAAGUACGGCCGCAAGGUU
rnacentral:rRNA from 1 species